rnacentral:rRNA from 1 species
CCUACGGGAGGCAGCAGUGGGGAAUAUUGGACAAUGGGCGAAAGCCUGAUCCAGCCAUGCCGCGUGUGUGAAGAAGGCCCUCGGGUCGUAAAGCACUUUAAGCUGGGAGGAAGGGUUGUAACCUAAUACGUUGCAAUUUUGACGUUACCAGCAGAAUAAGCACCGGCUAACUCUGUGCCAGCAGCCGCGGUAAUACAGAGGGUGCAAGCGUUAAUCGGAAUUACUGGGCGUAAAGCGCGCGUAGGUGGCUUGGUAAGUUGAAUGUGAAAUCCCCGGGCUCAACCUGGGAACUGCAUCCAAAACUGCCUGGCUAGAGUACGGUAGAGGGUGGUGGAAUUUCCUGUGUAGCGGUGAAAUGCGUAGAUAUAGGAAGGAMCACCAGUGGCCGAAGGCGACCACCUGGACUGAUACUGACACUGAGGUGCGAAAGCGUGGGGAGCAAACUUUUUUUUUAUACCCUGGUAGUCCACGCCGUAAACGAUGUCAACUAGCCCUUGGGGUCCUUGAGACUUUAGUGGCGCAGCUAACGCAAUAAGUUGACCGCCCUGGGGAGUACGGCCGCAAGGUUAAAACUCAAAUGAAUUGACGG